UGAUGUGAGGGUGACCUGGCUGGGACAUCUGUCACCCCAUUGACCGCUAGGACUGAUUGGGCUGAUCUGGCUGGCUAGACAGGCAUUCCCGUCCUCCCUCAACUCUCAAUGUGUAUCCUUCCGAGAGCUGCAUGCUUGGUUGAAGAGGACAACCUUCCCCUUUAGAGGCAGACUGCUCUUCAGUCAAGGGCUACGAGUAGCUUCACCCCUGCUAGAACCUCCAAAAAAGUUCCCAAGGGCCUAAGAAGCAACUGGUGUUGAGCUGCAGGGACUGAGGUUAGAGACUAAGUCACAGUCCUC
rnacentral:snRNA from 1 species